UCUCUUCCUUCCCAUGUUAUCUGCACAACAACCCUGUGAGAUUCAUACUUAACAACAACCAAAAAUCCAAUUCUACCAAGAAAAAAGCAUUGCAACUGAGAACCAGUUCUAAUCAGAGUGUUGGACCAGGUUCAAACUACCCCUCAGCCAUGAAGCUUUUUGGGCAAAUCACUAUAUCUCAGCCUAACCUGAUUCCCAGGGUUUUUGUGAGGCUAAAUGUUGAAAGUGAAAUUAUGUACACCACCCUGAGCUCCUCAGAGCAAAAUUAAAGUGUAAUAAAUGUAAUGGAUAAUGAA